AGCCACUGCUAUCGGAGUCCGACUAAGCCAUGCAAGUCGAUCGGGUAAGACCCGAGGCAGACGGCUCAGUAACACGUGGCUAACCUACCCUCGGGUGGAGGAUAACCUCGGGAAACUGAGGAUAAUCCUCCAUAGAUCUAGGAUGCUGGAACGCACCUAGAUCGAAAGCUCCGGCGCCCGAGGAUGGGGCUGCGGCCUAUCAGGUUGUAGUGGGGGUAAUGGCCCCACUAGCCUACGACGGGUACGGGCUGUGAGAGCUGGAGCCCGGAGAUGGACCCUGAGACAAGGGUCCAGGCCCUACGGGGCGCAGCAGGCGCGAAACCUCCGCAAUGCACGAAAGUGCGAUGGGGGGACUCCGAGUGCCUACGCUUUGCGUAGGCUUUUCCUGAGCCUAAAAAGCUCAGGGAAUAAGGGCUGGGCAAGACGGGUGCCAGCCGCCGCGGUAAUACCCGCAGCUCUAGUGGUGGCCGCUAUUAUUGGGCCUAAAACGUCCGUAGCCGGUCUGGUAAAUGCCCGGGUAAAUCAUGGGGCUCAACCUCAUGAAUUCCGGGCAGACUGCUAGACUUGGGACCGGGAGAGGCCGGAGGUACUCCAGGGGUAGGGGUGAAAUCCUGUAAUCCCUGGGGGACCACCUGUGGCGAAAGCGUCCGGCCAGAACGGGUCCGACGGUGAGGGACGAAGCCCAGGGGCGCAAACCGGAUUAGAUACCCGGGUAGUCCUGGGUGUAAACGCUACCCGCUUGAUGUUAGGUAGGCUUCGGGCCUACCUAGUGUCGGAGCGAAGGUGUUAAGCGGGUUGCCUGGGGAGUAUGGCCGCAAGGCUGAAACUUAAAGGAAUUGGCGGGGGAGCACUGCAACGGGUGGAGCGUGCGGUUU
rnacentral:rRNA from 1 species